rnacentral:lncRNA from 1 species
CUGACACCUGCCAUUUUCAUUUUAGGACAUCUGUCAAAUGUUGACAUAUGGGUCUUAAACUGAAGGCCACUUGGCAAGAGCUCAUUGGAGAAUUUUUGUGGAGUGUCCACAUGCCAAAUCCAUAUUAAAUUGGGUGCCAUAAUCAGAUUAUGGCAUGAGCCCAAUUGGAUUAAGUGGGCACCCCAAGUGGAUAAGGAUGG